AGUUGGAGCAUGCCCAGGUGCCAGGGCUGCCUGUCCCGCUGAGGAGACAGCAGCCACAGCCACUGAGCACUGAGGUUCAUGCUUUGCUGAAGUCACAGCCUUAGGCUACGUUUUCUUUCAAAAGCAGCAGCAUUAUUUUAAAAGCUUCACUUUCAGAAGUAACUUAAGCACUUCAAUAGUAAGUCUUGCUGGCUCACAGUGAGGUUCACACCCUUAACUGCCUUAAGUUGCCCCUGGGAUAGGCUCAAGGUUCCCACCAUUUCACUGCUUCUCUGACUGAGCUACCAGAUCUUCAGGACAGGGACUCUCACUCCAUAAGACUGGGUUUUAAUAUCCAUGCCUAAAUCACUGGCUUGUUUGGGUGCCAAGAUGUCCAAAAUAAUGGUUGGUCUUUUUGUUGUGGGGCUGACCCUGCAUUCCUCAUGGAGUCAAAGCUCCUCUCACUUCUGAAAGGUGCAAAGAAAAGCAGCCCACUAUCUUCUUGCCAAAUUAUUCUCCAUGGGAGAUUUGAUUUGAAACUCACAAAAUACCAGGAUUUAUGAGGAACUGGUCACAAUGUGAUCAUAAGAACAUACCAACAUUGUAGUUCCCCACCCUUUGAUCUUGGCACUUUAAUGAUUAAUUAGUGCUAAAGUACUGGAAAAAUACCUCACUUGAGGCAGUUUAAAGCUUCUCUUUGUAUAGAUACAAACUAUGACUCACAUGAAAGGAUAACCCAGAACUGCAAGAGGGUGAGAUUAACUCAGAAACCUCUGGUCACGUGCAGAUGUUUGCCCAACUGGACAAAUGGGAGAAUCUGCUCAGCUUUAGGGACUGUUCCCAUUGAACAGCCUACAUUUUCCAUCACAUGAACUGCAAGAAACUCUGUCAACAUGGAGGGAAAUCCAUCCCUUAGAAAGAGACACAUGUUCAAGGAGCUGUGAGCCUUAAAGAAGCAUCACAUCCACAUCUUAUGGCAAUUUGCAGAAAAUAUCCCUCACCUGGGGUGGUUGGAGAGAAACCAUUUUCCCCUUCCUCUGUCACAAGUGUGCAUUUAAAUACUUCCAAAUAUGCUGCAAGGCGUAAGUCCCACUGCCACCAGUGCUGAGAACAAAGCAUGACAUGGGAGGGAAGGCUUUUCUUGCAUAAUCCUGCAGAGAUUACGUGUACUGCACCAAAAAUCAGGUGCUGAAUUUACAUGUUCACAGCCCUGCCUCUCACCCUUCUUCUCCAGCCAUCUGUCCCUGUGCAUGCAAACACUCAGGGACCAAGGACAGGACAAGAGCACUCAACCUAAUCAGAAAUGGCUGAAGUACCCCUGCAGCCAAAACCCAGUGCUAUGUGGAGACCCCAGAACCAAAGUUGUCUGUAACCUUUCUUUUCCCAGAGACCUGUGAACAAAGCCCCCCAGCACUGGGGUGCCUCCAGCCUGGAUUUCCACCUCUGCCUGCUGGUGGGAGCAGCCACAGCUUCCCACAGAGGGACUUCUGUACAUGGCCUGAUAAACCAUGAGAUCAUGCCAAAAUAAAUCAGCCUUUCCUCCGAGGUCACACAGAGACUCAGCUGUCCUCUGCCUCUGGAAAGGAGAUGUUCCUUGGAAGGUGGCUGUCACUCCUGGUAAGCGAAGGAGUAAGAACAGAGGCUCAGAGCCCAGGGACUGGCUCCCCUCUAACAGCUGAAGGAGAAACAAAAGCCUUUUCCAAAACACAGUCAACAGCAAAGAAGGAGACAGAACGGCUUUGAAGUGUACCUCUCCCUCUUGGAUCCAGUGUGAAGAGGUGGGACCACAGCAAGGGCCUGUGAGCAGCCAGUUAUUAUGGCCAGGAAAUUGGGAUGACUUGGAGGAGGUCUGGAGCCCUCAGCAGAGCGUGGCUUCCCCCAGAACCCUGCAGCUUGCCAGUGACCAUCUCAUUUUGUGUCUCACGUGCCUGUUGCUGGCAGGAGCAGCUCACAGCUGAUGCCCCCCACAAUGGAGGGGUUUGGAGGCCACACCUGACAGACAGAGCUGACCCAGGCUGGUGGCUGCAGCAUCCAGGGCCCCAACUAUGGGAACCAGAGACAAACCAGAGGGGAAA